rnacentral:rRNA from 1 species
GAACGAGAAAAUCCUGCUUGCAGGAUGAGUAAAGUGGCGCACGGGUGAGUAACACGUGGGUAAUCUACCCUUGAGACAGGGAUAACAUUCCGAAAGGGGUGCUAAUACCUGAUACGAUGAGGGCAUCAAAAGCUGCCUUCAUGAAAGGUGACCUCUUGACAAAGUUGCCGCUCAUGGAUGAGCCCGCGUCCCAUUAGCUUGUUGGUGGGGUAAUGGCCUACCAAGGCAAAGAUGGGUAGCUGGUCUGAGAGGACGAUCAGCCACACUGGAACUGAGAUACGGUCCAGACUCCUACGGGAGGCAGCAGUGGGGAAUAUUGCGCAAUGGGGGAAACCCUGACGCAGCAACGCCGCGUGAGUGAUGAAGGCCUUCGGGUCGUAAAGCUCUGUCAGGUGGAAAGAAGAGGCCGAUUCCGAAUAAGAGUCGGUCUUGACGGUACCACCAAAGGAAGCACCGGCUAACUCCGUGCCAGCAGCCGCGGUAAUACGGAGGGUGCGAGCGUUGUUCGGAAUUAUUGGGCGUAAAGCGCGUGUAGGCGGCCUGUUAAGUCAGUUGUGAAAGACCUUAGCUCAACUAAGGAAUGUCAUCUGAAACUGGCAGGCUUGAGUACGGGAGAGGAGAGUGGAAUUCCCGGUGUAGAGGUGAAAUUCGUAGAUAUCGG